rnacentral:lncRNA from 1 species
AGUCACUUGCGAGCGGUUGCAAGAACCAUAACUGCGAAGAUCACCAGCAGUGUUUUCCAUUCGGAAAUGACGCGUUCAAAUGCAUCGAUAUCUAUUGCGAGGAACCAUCAAAGGUGACGAACGCCGUUGUAGAGCCGGGUAGUCGUCUGGCAGGAUCCAUUAGAACGUACACGUUUACAUGUCCUGAAACCCAGUAUGCCGUUGGCAAGACAAGCAUCAAAUGCCGCCACAACGAAUCAUGGACUGCUUUGGAAGCUAGAUGCAAAAGACUACCAACAUGCGCAGACUUGAACGAGUGUAACCCGGCCUUUACAGACGGAGAGUACUGGCUCUUCCCGCUAGCCUUUGGCGACGAUAAAUUGAAAGUG